rnacentral:rRNA from 1 species
AACAUGUUAAAAUAAGUUUGUGGUCGUGAUGUCGGUAAUGUCUAUGCAUCCAACAUCACGGCCUCGACCCCGAACGAUGCAAGUCGAUUGGGUGUACUAACAUCUCGGCGCGGCAAGCGCCAAGGAAAACCAAACCGAUCGCCUCUCCGUCCGGGUUCCGUACGCGGUAGCCAUGACAUGAUGAGGAGCAUCUACUGAAAAAAACGACUCUCGGCAACGGAUAUCUCGGCUCUCGCAUCGAUGAAGAACGUAGCGAAAUGCGAUACUUGGUGUGAAUUGCAGAAUCCCGUGAACCAUCGAGUCUUUGAACGCAAGUUGCGCCCGAAGCCAGCAGGCUGAGGGCACGUCUGCCUGGGUGUCACGCAUCACGUCGCCCCCAACAUCAUAUUUCCCAUCUUAGGAUCGGGAAAUGUUGUACAAGAAGUUGGGGCGGAUAUUGGCCUCCCGUUGUCCUUGUACAGUGGCCGGCCCAAAAUAUAACCGUGUCGAUAGAUGUCACACGAUGCGUGGUGGUUGGAUUACUCAACUUUUACGGACUAUCGUGCAGGGCUAUAUCGAUCCACGGGCAUGACCCAAUGGCAGUGAAUGCCCUCGUUUGCGACCCCAGGUCAGGCGGGACCACCCGCUGAGUUUAAGCAUAUCAAUAA